AGAGUUGUAUCCUGGCUCAGGAUGAACGCUAGCGGGAGGCUUAACACAUGCAAGUCGAGGGGCAGCGGAGAUUGCUUGCAAUCAGACGGCGACCGGCGCACGGGUGCGUAACGCGUAUACAAUCUGCCCUAUACUGGAGAAUAGCCCAGAGAAAUUUGGAUUAAUGCUCCAUAGUCUUCCUCUUUCGCAUGUUAGAGGUUGUAAAGCUGCGGCGGUAUAGGAUGAGUAUGCGUCCCAUUAGCUAGUUGGUAGGGUAAAGGCCUACCAAGGCGACGAUGGGUAGGGGUUCUGAGAGGAUGAUCCCCCACACUGGUACUGAGACACGGACCAGACUCCUACGGGAGGCAGCAGUGAGGAAUAUUGGUCAAUGGGCGCAAGCCUGAACCAGCCAUCCCGCGUGAAGGAUGACGGCUCUAUGAGUUGUAAACUUCUUUUAUAUACCAAGAAAGGUAGAUACGUGUAUUUAUUUGACGGUAGUAUAUGAAUAAGCACCGGCUAACUCCGUGCCAGCAGCCGCGGUAAUACGGAGGGUGCAAGCGUUAUCCGGAUUCAUUGGGUUUAAAGGGUGCGUAGGCGGUAAUUUAAGUCAGUGGUGAAAUCCUGCAGCUCAACUGUAGAACUGC
rnacentral:rRNA from 1 species